rnacentral:lncRNA from 1 species
GGGCAAAGGGAACAAAGAGGCACUUGGCUCACCCUAGAUCAAGAGGAGAGGCUCUCCAGAUUUGCUGACCUAGAAGGAUAAGUCUGAAAUACCCUUGGCUGUGUACAUUUGAGUAAAGAGAGCACUAUAAAAUCAAAAACCAAUGAAAUGGUUUCCAGAACACAGAACUAUUAAGCUUAAGAAAAGGACAGAAGGAACUGAAGAGAGAGGAACUGUUUUGGAGCAUCACACUUCCACCUCAGAAGAAAUAAGGAAGGAAGGAGGAGGGUGUUCCCACGGCUCUUCAACCAGGCCGGCUCUUCAGCCUACAUCCCCAUCUCAUCAAGUAAAAGGGAUUUUUCAACUGGACCAACCAGAUGGUUUAACAGUGCACUCCCACACCAUUCAACUACGCAAGGGAGAUACACUUAACAUAUGCAGUCGUAUAACACCUACUAACAUUUUCAAACAUUAAACCUUUAAAAAAGAGUUCUAAAGAAAUAGAAGCUUGAAGUAUCAUCUCUCAAGUAUAUAGACACUACUUCAUGGUGUGGUAAUAUAUGCAUAUAGAAGCUAGUAAACACCUCCAGGAGAUGCAAAAGGAAUUAGAACUGCCACAAGGUGCAAGCAAAACCUUGAGCUUCUUUAAAAUAUGAAGACUUCGAAGUUAUUUAUCCAAACCAACCUGAUCAUUUCUUAAGAGUGAAUAUACCUUGGAAGACGUGUCCUGCCUUUAGUAGCGUCACAAUGGAUUACAUCCUCUAUAAAGCAGUCUGGGAGGCUAACAUCUGCCACAAGACAAAUAUGGUGCCUGCCCCCAUGGAGCUCAUAUUCGAAUGGAGAAAAUGUCAACAAGUAUCCCACGGAGUGAACACUUCAAAAGGAGAAGCACAGGUGAGAAAAUCGAAUUUGGACACCGUUGAGGAGACUAUUGCAGUCAUCCAAGCUCAAGAUGGUGGAGCUUCAUCCUUGAGAAUAACCAAUGGGGAUAGAUUUAAGAGACACUUAGAGUCUGCAGCCAACAGGGCUGAAUGAGCAGAGAGUUAUGAUUCAGAAGAUCAUCUAAAAUUGAACAGCUGCCACUACUGGCAAUAAGUCUACUGCCAUUUGGUAGAUAACCUUCUUAUCACACAGAAAAAUAUCAGUACAGACAAAUAGACCGCAAAGAAAAUGAGACCAUCAGCAAAGAAGAUAAAGAAGUUUGUACAAAGCAACUUUUUAUAAAUGGAUGGCUGUCAGGCAAAAAUAAAUUUCCUGUGGACAAGACCAAGAGCAAGGCAAGAGGAAAAUAAACAUGUUUAAAC